AGAGUUUGAUCCUGGCUCAGGACGAACGCUGGCGGCGUGCUUAACACAUGCAAGUCGAGCGAGCUGAUCCCUUCGGGGUGAAGCUAGCGGCGGACGGGUGAGUAACACGUGGGCAACCUGCCUCAUAGAGGGGAAUAGCCUCCCGAAAGGGAGAUUAAUACCGCAUAAGAUUGUAGCUUCGCAUGAAGUAGCAAUUAAAGGAGCAAUCCGCUAUGAGAUGGGCCCGCGGCGCAUUAGCUAGUUGGUGAGGUAACGGCUCACCAAGGCGACGAUGCGUAGCCGACCUGAGAGGGUGAUCGGCCACAUUGGGACUGAGACACGGCCCAGACUCCUACGGGAGGCAGCAGUGGGGAAUAUUGCACAAUGGGGGAAACCCUGAUGCAGCAACGCCGCGUGAGUGAUGACGGCCUUCGGGUUGUAAAGCUCUGUCUUCAGGGACGAUAAUGACGGUACCUGAGGAGGAAGCCACGGCUAACUACGUGCCGGCAGCCGCGGUAAUACGUAGGUGGCGAGCGUUGUCCGGAUUUACUGGGCGUAAAGGGAGCGUAGGCGGACUUUUAAGUGAGAUGUGAAAUACCCGGGCUUAACUUGGGUGCUGCAUUUCAAACUGGAAGUCUAGAGUGCAGGAGAGGAGAAUGGAAUUCCUAGUGUAGCGGUGAAAUGCGUAGAGAUUAGGAAGAACACCAGUGGCGAAGGCGAU
rnacentral:rRNA from 1 species